CACGGGGGGAGCAAGCGUUGUUCGGAAUCACUGGGCGUAAAGGGCGUGCAGGCGGUCAGGUAAGUGGGAUGUGAAAUGCCCCGGCUCACCCGGGGACCGGCAUCUCAUACUGCUUGGCUUGAGUACGGGGAGAGGAUGUGGGAAUUCCUGGUGUAGCGGUGAAAUGCGUAGAUAUCAGGAGGAACACCGGUGGCGAAGGCGCACAUCUGGCCCGAUACUGACGCUGGAGGCGCGAAAGCUAGGGGAGCAAACGGG
rnacentral:rRNA from 1 species